CGCCUCUUGAUCAAAUACAAGAGGCUCCGCCUGCCCAGUGAUUAUUUUAACGGCCGCGGUACCCUAACCGUGCGAAGGUAGCACAAUCACUUGUUCUCUAAAUAAGGACUAGUAUGAACGGCACCACGAAGACUAUACUGUCUCCUCUCUGCAAUCAGUGAAACUGAUCUCCCCGUGAAAAAGCGGGAAUUAUAUUAUAAGACGAGAAGACCCCAUGGAGCUUUAAGAAAAUAACAACUGUCAUAACUAUAUCAUAAAAACUUGACAAACCUGACUAUUAACUUUCGGUUGGGGUGACCACGGAGUAAAACAAAACCUCCGCAAUGAACGAGCCCGGCUCUAACUCAAGAACCACACUUCCAAAAAUCAUUAUAUUGACAUUUAUUGACCCAAACCCUUGAUCAAUGAACCAAGUUACCCUGGGGAUAACAGCGCAAUCCAUUUUAAGAGCCCCUAUCGACAAAUGGGUUUACGACCUCGAUGUUGGAUCAGGGUAUCCUAGUAGUGCAGUCGCUACUGAAGGUUUGUUUGUUCAACAAUUAAAACCCU
rnacentral:rRNA from 1 species